rnacentral:lncRNA from 1 species
AUAAUAUUUGCAAAGAAUUUUCGAGAAUUAAAAAACUUGAGAGCAUACAGAACCGAAGAGCUAAGAAUCCUGAAAAAAUAAAAAAUAGCAGUAAACCUUUUAUAAACUACUAUUCUAUUAAAGUUUUUCUCGGGAUAUUUGAGGUUUUCAUGUGCUAAAAUAAGCCCUGAAUAUUCAGAAGUUAAAAUGAGUUGAAUGUUGUUGGUAGUAAAGUAUUUGGGUCAGUUUUUGGUUGGAUUUUGAUUACUGGGUUUAUUUAACCUUGUUGCUGGUUCAAAAUCAUUUCAAAGCUGGUUUUCCUUGUUUAUUUUUGGGUGGCCCUUGUUGUUAAUUCCAGUCCUUGUUAUUGAUGCUGCUGAACUUGCU